GGUCAAGUGAAGAAGCGCAUACGGUGGAUGCCUUGGCAGUCAGAGGCGAUGAAAGACGUGGUAGCCUGCGAUAAGCUUCGGGGAGUCGGCAAACAGACUUUGAUCCGGAGAUCUCUGAAUGGGGGAACCCACUCAGCAUAAGCUGAGUAUCUUGUACUGAAUACAUAGGUGCAAGAGGCGAACCAGGGGAACUGAAACAUCUAAGUACCCUGAGGAAAAGAAAUCAACCGAGAUUCCCUUAGUAGUGGCGAGCGAACGGGGACUAGCCCUUAAGUGGCUUUGAGAUUAGCGGAACGCUCUGGAAAGUGCGGCCAUAGUGGGUGAUAGCCCUGUACGCGAAAAUCUCUUAGUCAUGAAAUCGAGUAGGACGGAGCACGAGAAACUUUGUCUGAAUAUGGGGGGACCAUCCUCCAAGGCUAAAUACUACUGACUGACCGAUAGUGAACCAGUACCGUGAGGGAAAGGCGAAAAGAACCCCGGAGAGGGGAGUGAAAUAGAACCUGAAACCGUAUGCGUACAAGCAGUGGGAGCCUACUUGUUAGGUGACUGCGUACCUUUUGUAUAAUGGGUCAGCGACUUAUAUUCAGUGGCGAGCUUAACCGAAUAGGGGAGGCGUAGCGAAAGCGAGUCUUAAUAGGGCGUUUAGUCGCUGGGUAUAGACCCGAAACCGGGCGAUCUAUCCAUGGGCAGGUUGAAGGUUAGGUAACACUGACUGGAGGACCGAACCGACUACCGUUGAAAAGUUAGCGGAUGACCUGUGGAUCGGAGUGAAAGGCUAAUCAAGCUCGGAGAUAGCUGGUUCUCCUCGAAAGCUAUUUAGGUAGCGCCUCAUGUAUCACUGUAGGGGGUAGAGCACUGUUUCGGCUAGGGGGUCAUCCCGACUUACCAAACCGAUGCAAACUCCGAAUACCUACAAGUGCCGAGCAUGGGAGACACACGGCGGGUGCUAACGUCCGUCGUGAAAAGGGAAACAACCCAGACCGUCAGCUAAGGUCCCAAAGUUAUGGUUAAGUGGGAAACGAUGUGGGAAGGCUUAGACAGCUAGGAGGUUGGCUUAGAAGCAGCCACCCUUUAAAGAAAGCGUAAUAGCUCACUAGUCGAGUCGGCCUGCGCGGAAGAUGUAACGGGGCUCAAACCAUACACCGAAGCUACGGGUAUCACUUAGGUGAUGCGGUAGAGGAGCGUUCUGUAAGCCUGUGAAGGUGAGUUGAGAAGCUUGCUGGAGGUAUCAGAAGUGCGAAUGCUGACAUGAGUAACGACAAUGGGAGUGAAAAACUCCCACGCCGAAAGACCAAGGUUUCCUGCGCAACGUUAAUCGACGCAGGGUUAGUCGGUCCCUAAGGCGAGGCUGAAAAGCGUAGUCGAUGGAAAACAGGUUAAUAUUCCUGUACUUCUAGUUAUUGCGAUGGAGGGACGGAGAAGGCUAGGCCAGCUUGGCGUUGGUUGUCCAAGUUUAAGGUGGUAGGCUGAGAUCUUAGGUAAAUCCGGGAUCUUAAGGCCGAGAGCUGAUGACGAGUUGCCAUUAGGCGACGAAGUGGUUGAUGCCAUGCUUCCAAGAAAAGCUUCUAAGCUUCAGAUAACUAGGAACCGUACCCCAAACCGACACAGGUGGUUGGGUAGAGAAUACCAAGGCGCUUGAGAGAACUCGGGUGAAGGAACUAGGCAAAAUGGCACCGUAACUUCGGGAGAAGGUGCGCCGGUGAGGGUGAAGGACUUGCUCCGUAAGCCCAUGCCGGUCGAAGAUACCAGGCCGCUGCGACUGUUUAUUAAAAACACAGCACUCUGCAAACACGAAAGUGGACGUAUAGGGUGUGACGCCUGCCCGGUGCCGGAAGGUUAAUUGAUGGGGUUAGCUAACGCGAAGCUCUUGAUCGAAGCCCCGGUAAACGGCGGCCGUAACUAUAACGGUCCUAAGGUAGCGAAAUUCCUUGUCGGGUAAGUUCCGACCUGCACGAAUGGCGUAACGAUGGCGGCGCUGUCUCCACCCGAGACUCAGUGAAAUUGAAAUCGCUGUGAAGAUGCAGUGUAUCCGCGGCUAGACGGAAAGACCCCGUGAACCUUUACUAUAGCUUUGCACUGGACUUUGAAUUUGCUUGUGUAGGAUAGGUGGGAGGCUUUGAAGCGUGGACGCCAGUUCGCGUGGAGCCAUCCUUGAAAUACCACCCUGGCAACUUUGAGGUUCUAACUCAGGUCCGUUAUCCGGAUCGAGGACAGUGUAUGGUGGGUAGUUUGACUGGGGCGGUCUCCUCCUAAAGAGUAACGGAGGAGUACGAAGGUGCGCUCAGACCGGUCGGAAAUCGGUCGUAGAGUAUAAAGGCAAAAGCGCGCUUGACUGCGAGACAGACACGUCGAGCAGGUACGAAAGUAGGUCUUAGUGAUCCGGUGGUUCUGUAUGGAAGGGCCAUCGCUCAACGGAUAAAAGGUACUCCGGGGAUAACAGGCUGAUACCGCCCAAGAGUUCAUAUCGACGGCGGUGUUUGGCACCUCGAUGUCGGCUCAUCACAUCCUGGGGCUGAAGCCGGUCCCAAGGGUAUGGCUGUUCGCCAUUUAAAGUGGUACGCGAGCUGGGUUUAGAACGUCGUGAGACAGUUCGGUCCCUAUCUGCCGUGGACGUUUGAGAUUUGAGAGGGGCUGCUCCUAGUACGAGAGGACCGGAGUGGACGAACCUCUGGUGUUCCGGUUGUCACGCCAGUGGCAUUGCCGGGUAGCUAUGUUCGGAAGAGAUAACCGCUGAAAGCAUCUAAGCGGGAAACUUGCCUCAAGAUGAGAUCUCACUGGAGCCUUGAGCUCCCUGAAGGGCCGUCGAAGACUACGACGUUGAUAGGUUGGGUGUGUAAGCGCUGUGAGGCGUUGAGCUAACCAAUACUAAUUGCCCGUGAGGCUUGACCAU
rnacentral:rRNA from 1 species